rnacentral:rRNA from 1 species
GAUACCCUGGUAGUCCACGCUGUAAACGAUGUCGACUUGGAGGUUGUGCCCUUGAGGCGUGGCUUCCGGAGCUAACGCGUUAAGUCGACCGCCUGGGGAGUACGGCCGCAAGGUUAAAACUCAAAUGAAUUGACGGGGGCCCGCACAAGCGGUGGAGCAUGUGGUUUAAUUCGAUGCAACGCGAAGAACCUUACCUACUCUUGACAUCCACGGAAUUCGCCAGAGAUGGCUUAGUGCCUUCGGGAACCGUGAGACAGGUGCUGCAUGGCUGUCGUCAGCUCGUGUUGUGAAAUGUUGGGUUAAGUCCCGCAACGAGCGCAACCCUUAUCCUUUGUUGCCAGCACGUAAUGGUGGGAACUCAAAGGAGACUGCCGGUGAUAAACCGGAGGAAGGUGGGGAUGACGUCAAGUCAUCAUGGCCCUUACGAGUAGGGCUACACACGUGCUACAAUGGCAUAUACAAAGAGAAGCGAACUCGCGAGAGCAAGCGGACCUCAUAAAGUAUGUCGUAGUCCGGAUUGGAGUCUGCAACUCGACUCCAUGAAGUCGGAAUCGCUAGUAAUCGUAGAUCAGAAUGCUACGGUGAAUACGUUCCCGGGCCUUGUACACACCGCCCGUCACACCAUGGGAGUGGGUUGCAAAAGAAGUAGGUAGCUUAAC